rnacentral:tRNA from 1 species
GCCUUAGUGGUGUAAUGGUUAUCACACUCGGCGCGUAUUCGAGAGGUCCAGGUUCAAAUCCCGGCAAAUGCA